GCCAUGCAUUGUGACAGCUUUUUUCAGGGUUCCUUAUGUGCUACCUCAACCCACAGGAAGCCUUGCCAAGAUAGCUGCAACCUCCUCCCAAGGAUUUGAUAUUUUCUUAUCUGUCUAUACAUUAACUUAUCAGGGGAAUAUAAACUCCUUAAAGAUAGAGAUCUCUGAUUCUUGGGCUAAAGACUCUAUGGUCCUUUGGAAGAAAAGUGAAAAUUGAAUCUCCUUGGCUAAGAAACUUCAGCAAGUUGCAAUCUACUGCUAAAGAACUCUGGUUGUAAAAAGAAUUCCCUUAACCAUACUAUAGUUUUCAGAUUUCAAAUAACGGCUUCAACACUAUGACUUGUUACCUUUCUAUGUGCCCAGGAAGAAAAAGGAUGAAGUGCUUACUCUUCAAAGAUCAGGGUUUAUGAAAAUAAUUCAGAAUUUCUACUUUCAUAACAUACUUCUUGAUUUCCAAGUACCUCUGGCUUUGUGUUCUUCUAAGCAGAAGACAUUUCAGGGACUGAUGUGCAGAUUGAGUGGGUUAAUUCUUAAAAAAUGAUUACCACAAUGCCAGGCACAGAACUGACUUCACCUUGGGAAUCACCAAAAAUAACAUCAGAUGAAAAAAAAACAACUAAUGAAAUACAAAGCUUGAGACACACUUCAUCUCUGGGUCCCAUACUGGCAUUAGUUAUUCUUUACUGAAGAAAUGAACGCAUAUGGGUGGAUUUUCAGUGUAGUACCCAGAGAGUUUGUUUUUGAACAAUUCUAUCAAUAGAGAUGGAGUAUGGAGAGGCGAAGAGUUUGUGUCUAAAUUUAAGUCAUCCUUGGUAGAAAUAACCAGUUUUGGUAAAUGAAUUAUCCAGAUAUUAGGAAGACAAAUAAGAUUUAAAAUUAAUUUUAAGUCAUAUAAUUUUGUUUUGUGAAUUGCCCCUUAAUUGCAAACCUUCCUAAGAAACAAAAAUCUAACUUUUCAAAACCCACAUAGAGGUGGUGUUGUAUAGCUGUAAGUCAUGGAACAUUACAGUAUUUGAAGAAUGAGCAAUGAGUAUCACUUAGAGAACAACAUAAAAGCAUGGGUAAUGGAGAGCUAAGACACCCUACCACCAAAGAAAUGUAUAGUUGAAAAAGAGUACGUGCUAGACUCCUGGAAAGAGUGAAGGAUAUGUGACGGAUGGCCCAAGUCCUCUACUGGUAUCACCCUGAUGUUAAGAAAUAGGGAGAAAGGAAGGUUUCCAUCAUGUUUUUCCUCUCCCAUAUUAUACUGUUUCUCAUCAACUCACAGAUACCAUAAUAAUAGCUUGAAUUUGCUUAGAAAUUCAGCCAACAUUUGUGUAGUCACAGGGCAGUUUAGAGAGGAUGCAGUUAUCAUCAAGUUGUAUUUCUUUUGAGACUGACAACAACCCUGUUGAGAAGAUAUUGAAAGUAUUUUUAGCCCCCUUUUGUAGAAGGGAACUCAACUGAGAAUGAAUAAGAAGCCAAAGUCCCCCUUCUAGGGAAUUGAGCUGAUUGUCUUCUUGGGUUUAAUCCAGUGUAAUCCUCUCCCUUGUAGCACUGCUCUUAAUGUGUCAUUGACAUGUAAUACAUACAGUGUAAAAUAGCCUACAAUAGCAUAGUGCCACAAAUCUCUCUUUGGUAUAAUAUUCUCUGCUGACAUCCAACUGAAACACCCAACUGCAUUUGGGGAAACUUUUUUCCAUUUUUUUGAAAGGAAAAAAACAAACAAACUAUGAAGGGGGCAUGUCCUUGUCCAAAUACUUCAAUGCAGUGAGAAUCCUAUGAACAAUUGUUGCAUUCCAUUAACAUAAUGAAAAGAGUGGAAAAUUAAUUUAAUAGUCCAAGAGGUUCCUCCACUAACUGGAUGGGAUUUCAUUUGUCACUAUGAGUCGUGACACCAUUAGUUCUGCUUUGUGGGAAAAGCUCUCCUAUGUUUACCAACCAAGACUUUAUUAUCAGAGUUGAGCUUUGUUGAAUAUGUGUGCUACCUUUUGGCAGAACUAUUCCUCCAAAUGCAGGGAAGGGGUGCAAUUCAUCACAUGGAAAGAGAUGAAAAGAUUCACUGAUAGUUUAAAAGGCAAAUCUUAACUAACUUCAUAUAACUUAUCAAGGAAUACUAAGACUUGACUGAUAUGACCCUGUCAGUCACUUUAUACAGCAGACUCAAAGUCAGCUACACAGUUAGAAUUAGUAGCUGUUAAACAGAAAAUUAAAUGGAAAUUUAGUACAGAUUUGAAUCGAAAAACUGUAAAUAUAUGAAUGCCAGACAAUGGGUUACAAAGUGAAAAUUUCAGUAAACUACUCCUAAAAUGCAGAUCCUCUACCUUAACCCCAGUUCUCCACUCACUAUGAUGACAUGAAAUAGCUUUUUAGUUUCAGGUUCAUGGAUUUAGCACUAAACACAUUGGCUUUCUCGUUUACUUUUUUAAACUGACACCCCAUGUAUUUCUUCCUCCUUUAAGAGUACUCUGCUGCUAAGGGAUAUU